rnacentral:rRNA from 1 species
AGCCCGCUCGCCGGAAGACCAAGGGUUCCUGUCCAACGUUAAUCGGGGCAGGGUGAGUCGACCCCUAAGGCGAGGCCGAAAGGCGUAGUCGAUGGGAAACAGGUUAAUAUUCCUGUACUUGGUGUUACUGCGAAGGGGGGACGGAGAAGGCUAUGUUGGCCGGGCGACGGUUGUCCCGGUUUAAGCGUGUAGGCUGGUUUUCCAGGCAAAUCCGGAAAACCAAGGCUGAGGCGUGAUGACGAGGCACUACGGUGCUGAAGCGACAAAUGCCCUGCUUCCAGGAAAAGCCUCUAAGCAUCAGGUAACAUCAAAUCGUACCCCAAACCGACACAGGUGGUCAGGUAGAGAAUACCAAGGCGCUUGAGAGAACUCGGGUGAAGGAACUAGGCAAAAUGGUGCCGUAACUUCGGGAGAAGGCACGCUGAUAUGUAGGUGAAGCGACUUGCUCGUGGAGCUGAAAUCAGUCGAAGAUACCAGCUGGCUGCAACUGUUUAUUAAAAACACAGCACUGUGCAAACACGAAAGUGGACGUAUACGGUGUGACGCCUGCCCGGUGCCGGAAGGUUAAUUGAUGGGGUUAGCGGCAACGCGAAGCUCUUGAUCGAAGCCCCGGUAAACGGCGGCCGUAACUAUAACGGUCCUAAGGUAGCGAAAUUCCUUGUCGGGUAAGUUCCGACCUGCACGAAUGGCGUAAUGAUGGCCAGGCUGUCUCCACCCGAGACUCAGUGAAAUUGAACUCGCUGUGAAGAUGCAGUGUACCCGCGGCAAGACGGAAAGACCCCGUGAACCUUUACUAUAGCUUGACACUGAACAUUGAGCCUUGAUGUGUAGGAUAGGUGGGAGGCUUUGAAGUGUGGACGCCAGUCUGCAUGGAGCCGACCUUGAAAUACCACCCUUUAAUGUUUGAUGUUCUAACGUUGGCCCGUAAUCCGGGUUGCGGACAGUGUCUGGUGGGUAGUUUGACUGGGGCGGUCUCCUCCUAAAGAGUAACGGAGGAGCACGAAGGUUGGCUAAUCCUGGUCGGACAUCAGGAGGUUAGUGCAAUGGCAUAAGCCAGCUUGACUGCGAGCGUGACGGCGCGAGCAGGUGCGAAAGCAGGUCAUAGUGAUCCGGUGGUUCUGAAUGGAAGGGCCAUCGCUCAACGGAUAAAAGGUACUCCGGGGAUAACAGGCUGAUACCGCCCAAGAGUUCAUAUCGACGGCGGUGUUUGGCACCUCGAUGUCGGCUCAUCACAUCCUGGGGCUGAAGUAGGUCCCAAGGGUAUGGCUGUUCGCCAUUUAAAGUGGUACGCGAGCUGGGUUUAGAACGUCGUGAGACAGUUCGGUCCCUAUCUGCCGUGGGCGCUGGAGAACUGAGGGGGGCUGCUCCUAGUACGAGAGGACCGGAGUGGACGCAUCACUGGUGUUCGGGUUGUCAUGCCAAUGGCACUGCCCGGUAGCUAAAUGCGGAAGAGAUAAGUGCUGAAAGCAUCUAAGCACGAAACUUGCCCCGAGAUGAGUUCUCCCUGAGACUUAGAGUCUCCUGAAGGAACGUUGAAGACGACGACGUUGAUAGGCCGGGUGUGUAAGCGCAGCGAUGCGUUGAGCUAACCGGUACUAAUGAACCGUGAGGCUUAACCUU